rnacentral:hammerhead_ribozyme from 1 species
AUACAGCCGAUGAGUCUUAAGUAGGACGAAACGCACGUCAUGUAU